GCUUGCGGCGCGCUUAACACAUGCAAGUCGAACGAGAAAGGUUCCUUCGGGAGCCGAGUAAAGUGGCGCACGGGUGAGUAACGCGUAGGUAAUCUACCCCUGUAUCUGGGACAACAUCGGGAAACUGGUGCUAAUACSGGAUACGCCUGAUUUGGCGCGAGUCAUAUCAGGGAAAGGUGACCUCUCCUUGGAAGUUACCGUACAGGGAUGAGCCUGCGUACCAUUAGCUAGUUGGUGGGGUAAAGGCUUACCAAGGCAACGAUGGUUAGCGGGUCUGAGAGGAUGAUCCGCCACACUGGAACUGGAACACGGUCCAGACUCCUACGGGAGGCAGCAGUGAGGAAUAUUGCGCAAUGGGGGCAACCCUGACGCAGCGACGUCGCGUGGGUGAAGAAGGUUUUCGGAUCGUAAAACCCUGUCAGGUGGGAAGAAAUGCCAGUUGGUUAAUACCCAGUUGGUUUGACGGUACCACCAGAGGAAGCACCGGCUAACUCCGUGCCAGCAGCCGCGGUAAUACGGAGGGUGCGAGCGUUGUUCGGAAUUACUGGGCGUAAAGGGCGCGUAGGCGGUGUAUCAAGUCAGAUGUGAAAGCCCGCGGCUUAACCGUGGAAGUGCAUCUGAAACUGGUACGCUAGAGUAUGGUAGGGGAAAGUGGAAUUCCUGGUGUAGAGGUGAAAUUCGUAGAUAUCAGGAGGAACACCUGAGGCGAAGGCGACUUUCUGGACCAAUACUGACGCUGAGGCGCGAAAGCGUGGGGAGCAAACAGGAUUAGAUACCCUGGUAGUCCACAGCUGUAAACGAUGUGCACUAGGUGUAGGGGGCGUUGACCCUUCUGUGCCGGAGCUAACGCAUUAAGUGCACCGCCUGGGGAGUACGGUC
rnacentral:rRNA from 1 species